GAGUUUGAUCCUGGCUCAGAUUGAACGCUGGCGGCAUGCCUUACACAUGCAAGUCGAACGGCAGCACGGGGGCAACCCUGGUGGCGAGUGGCGAACGGGUGAGCAAUACAUCGGAACGUGUCCUGUAGUGGGGGAUAGCCCGGCGAAAGCCGGAUUAAUACCGCAUACGAUCUGCGGAUGAAAGCGGGGGCUCCUUCGGGACCUCGCGCUACAGGGGCGGCCGAUGGCAGAUUAGCUAGUUGGUGGGGUAAAGGCCUACCAAGGCGACGAUCUGUAGCUGGUCUGAGAGGACGACCAGCCACACUGGGACUGAGACACGGCCCAGACUCCUACGGGAGGCAGCAGUGGGGAAUUUUGGACAAUGGGCGAAAGCCUGAUCCAGCAAUGCCGCGUGUGUGAAGAAGGCCUUCGGGUUGUAAAGCACUUUUGUCCGGAAAGAAAACCUCGUGGUUAAUACCCGUGGGGGAUGACGGUACCGGAAGAAUAAGCACCGGCUAACUACGUGCCAGCAGCCGCGGUAAUACG
rnacentral:rRNA from 1 species